rnacentral:rRNA from 1 species
UAAGGUUUAUUUACUUUAAAUUUAAAGUUGUUAAAGGUUUAAGAAAAUCAUUUUAUUGUUAUUGUAUAUGUUAUUGAUUUAAUAGAUUGAGUUAUAAUUAAUUAGUACUGUGAAGGAAUAAUUAGAAUGGAUAAUUAUUAAUUUAGAAGUUGAAUUUAUUUUUUGUACCUUGUGUAUCAGGGUUAAUUAAUAAUAUUUUAUUAAUGUUAAUUUUCUCGAUUUCUUUAGAGUUAAUAAGUUAUUUUAGUUAUUGUUGAAGAACUAAUAAUAAUAAUUUAUUGGUAAUGAUAUGUUAAUCGUUAAUGAGGAUAUCUAGUUUUUUAGGAAAUAAAUUUAAUUUAAAUUUUUUCUUUAAUAUUUUUCUUUGAAAUGGGUUUUAAGUUAAAAUUAAUAAUAAAGGGGAUAAGCUUUUUAUUAAAAAUUUAUAGGGUAUUUAGUUUAUGAAGUUAUGUGGAUUUAAUAAUUAUUAAUAUUUUAAGUAUGUUAAAAUAUUACUUUUUUAUUUAAUGAUUUUUUUUCCUUUAAGAAUUUACUAAUUUUUUUUAAUUAAUUAUUUUAUUAAUUAAAAUUAUGAUUAAAUUAGUAUAAUUUUUUUUAUAAAAUUUUUUGAAUGUGAAGUUGAGUUGAGGAACUAGGCAAUCUUUAUUGUUCGCCUGUUUAACAAAAACAUCUCUUCUUGUUUAUUUAGGAAGUAUAACCUGCCCAAUGAUGAAUUUAAUGGCCGCAGUAUAUUGACUGUGCAAAGGUAGCAUAAUCAUUAGUCUUUUAAUUGAAGGCUGGAAUGAAUGGUUAGACGAGAUAAUAACUAUCUUAAUUUUAUUUUUAUUUGAAUUUAAUCUUUAAGUUAAAAAGCUUAAAUAUUUUUUUGGGACGAGAAGACCCUAUAGAGUUUAAUAUUUAUUUUAAUUAAUAAUGUUUGUAAAUAGAUAGAAUUUUUAUAAUUAUUUUGUUGGGGUGAUGGAAAGAUAAGUAUAACUCUUUUUAUAAAUUGAUUAUAAAUUUAUAUAAUAAUGAUCCAUUAUUAAUGAUUAGAAGACUAAAUUACCUUAGGGAUAACAGCGUAAUUUUUUUUAAGAGUUCAUAUCAACAAGAAAGAUUGCGACCUCGAUGUUGGAUUAAGAUUAUAUUUAGGUGAAGAAGCUUAAAUAUUAGGUCUGUUCGACCUUUAAAAUCUUACAUGAUCUGAGUUCAAACCGGCGUGAGCCAGGUUGGUUUCUAUCUAAUAGUAAUUAGAAUAUCUUAGUACGAAAGGACCAGAUAUUUAAAAUAAUUUUUUUUGUUGUUGAUUAUUAAUAA